rnacentral:rRNA from 1 species
GGCGGACGGGUGAGUAACGCGUGGACAAUCUGCCGCGCACAGGGGAAUAACUUCUCGAGAAGGCCGCUAAUGCCCGCAUAUGCGCGCAGCGGGGCGUGAGGCAGCGCGGAAAGCAAUUUGCGGUGCGGCGAUGAGUCCGCGUCCGAUUAGGCAGUUGGCGGGGUGACGGCCCACCAAACCGACGAUCGGUAGCCGGCCUGAGAGGGCGGACGGCCACACUGGGACUGAGACACGGCCCAGACUCCUGCGGGAGGCAGCAGUGGGGAAUAUUGCACAAUGGGGGAAACCCUGAUGCGGCGACGCCGCAUGAAGGAAGAAGUAUCUCGGUAUGUAAACUUCUAUCGGCAGGGAAGAAAACGGACGGUACCUGACUAAGAAGCCCCGGCUAACUACGUGCCAGCAGCCGCGGUAAUACGUAGGGGGCGAGCGUUAUCCGGAUUUACUGGGUGUAAAGGGAGCGUAGACGGCUGGGCAAGCCUGAUGUGAAAGGCGGGGGCGCAACCCUCGGACUGCAUUGGGAACUGUCCGGCUGGAGCGCCGGAGGGGUAAGCGGAAUUCCUGGUGUAGCGGUGAAAUGCGUAGAUAUCAGAAAGAACACCGGUGGCGAAGGCGGCUUACUGGACGGCGACUGACGUUGAUGCUCGAAAGCGUGGGG